rnacentral:rRNA from 1 species
AGGAUAAACGCUGGCGGCGUGCAUGAGACGUGCAAGUCGAACGGACGAUCGAGGCUUGCUUCGAUCGUUAGUGGCGGACGGCUGAGUAACGCGUAGGUGACCUGCCCCGAAGUGGGGAAUAACGUGCCCGAAAGGGUGGCUAAUACCGCAUGUGGUGGUGUGUUCAAUCACACCAGU